CAGCAGCCGCGGUAAUACGUAGGUGGCAAGCGUUGUCCGGAAUUAUUGGGCGUAAAGCGCGCGCAGGCGGUCUUUUAAGUCUGAUGUGAAAGCCCACGGCUCAACCGUGGAGGGUCAUUGGAAACUGGAAGACUUGAGUGCAGAAGAGAAGAGCGGAAUUCCACGUGUAGCGGUGAAAUGCGUAGAGAUGUGGAGGAACACCAGUGGCGAAGGCGGCUUUCUGGUCUGUAACUGACGCUGAGGCGCGAAAGCGUGGGGAGCAAACAGGAUUAGAUACCCUGGUAGUCCACGCCGUAAACGAUGAGUGCUAAGUGUUAGGGGGUUUCCGCCCCUUAGUGCUGCAGCUAACGCAUUAAGCACUCCGCCUGGGGAGUACGGUCGCAAGACUGAAACUCAAAGGAAUUGACGG
rnacentral:rRNA from 1 species